GUGGCUGUAGCUCAAUGGCAGAGCGUCAGGUUGUGGACCUGAUGGUUGCCGGUUCGAAUCCGGUCAGCCACCCCA
rnacentral:tRNA from 1 species